UCUGCCCAGCUCUUGACAUAGGAUGACACAAGCCAGGCAGAUGGGCUCAGAGCCUCUCUUCCGACAGUGACUCAGGGAUCUGAGCUGCUUUCACCUUGAAAUUCUAUCAUCCUGGAGGACUUGGCUGUCAGCCACAUGGAUAGCAGAGAGGGAGGGUGAUCAACUCACAAACACUUUGAUUGCCUUGGACCAGCAGGACCAGCAGAAAUUUCCUCUAUAUAUCCUGUGCGUCAUCUAUACCGAGCCAUCCUGUGUUUUAGACCUGUGCAUCACCAGCUAUUGAAAAGAUACAGAAGCCCUUGUGGUAGAGGGCAGGACAUGGAAGGGAGACCAAGGAGUGGAAGGGGAAGGAAGGUUGUAGACCUGCUUGAUUUCUAAGCAACGUGAGAAUGUUGUGUCUUAAUCUAGUUUCAGCUGCCACCGAACAACACAUGCACGUACAGUAUAUGUUUCAUUGUGGGCUGGUCGAGCCGAACUUAUCUUAUUGACCAGGAGGCGAGUGGUAAACGUGCUAGCUCGUUACACCACAUUUUUUUCAUCCGUCUUCUUCAGUAAAAGA